GCUGGGCGUGGUGGCUCACGCCUGUAAUCUCAGCACUUUGGGAGGCUGAGGCGGGUGGAUCACCUGAGGUCAGGAGUUUCAGACCAGCCUGGCCAACAUGGUGAAACCCCGUCUUUA
rnacentral:SRP_RNA from 1 species